AUUGAACGCUGGCGGCAGGCCUAACACAUGCAAGUCGAACGAGUGGCGGACGGGUGAGUAAUGUCUGGGAAACUGCCCGAUGGAGGGGGAUAACUACUGGAAACGGUAGCUAAUACCGCAUACCAUCAGAUGUGCCCAGAUGGGAUUAGCUAGUAGGUGGGGUAAUGGCUCACCUAGGCGACGAUCCCUAGCUGGGCGGAGAGGAUGACCAGCCACAGUGGAACUGGGACAUGGUCCAGACUCCUACGGGAGGCAGCAGUGGGGAAUAUUGCACAAUGGGCGCAAGCCGGAUGCAUCCAUGCCGCGUGUAUGAAGAAGGCCUUCGGGUUGUAAAUUACUUUCAGCGGGGAGGCGUUACCCGCAGAAGAAGCACCGGCUAACUCCGUGCCAGCAGCCGCGGUAAUUC
rnacentral:rRNA from 1 species